AAUGAACGCUGGCGGCAGGCCUAACACAUGCAAGUCGAACGGAUCCUUCGGGAUUAGUGGCGGACGGGUGAGUAACGCGUGGGAACAUACCCUUUGGUACGGAAUAGCCUCGGGAAACUGGGAGUAAUACCGUAUGUGGUCGAGAGACGAAAGAUUUAUCGCCAAAGGAUUGGCCCGCGUUGGAUUAGGUAGUUGGUGGGGUAAUGGCCUACCAAGCCGACGAUCCAUAGCUGGUUUGAAGGGAUGAUCAGCCACACUGGGACUGAGACACGGCCCAGACUCCUACGGGAGGCAGCAGUGGGGAAUCUUAGACAAUGGGGGAAACCCUGAUCUAGCCAUGCCGCGUGAUCGAUGAAGGCCUUAGGGUUGUAAAGAUCUUUCAGGUGGGAAGAUAAUGACUGUACCACCAGAAGAAGCCCCGGCUAACUCCGUGCCAGCAGCCGCCGUAACAC
rnacentral:rRNA from 1 species